GGACUGUGGCUCAGUGGGUAGAGCACCUGCCUCACCUGCAGGAGGUCCCAGGUUCGAUCCCCAACAGCAACU